AGUGAACGCUGGCGGUAGGCCUAACACAUGCAAGUCGAACGGCAGCACAGUAAGAGCUUGCUCUUACGGGUGGCGAGUGGCGGACGAGUGAGGAAUACAUCGGAAUCUACUUUUUCGUGGGGGAUAACGUAGGGAAACUUACGCUAAUACCGCAUACGACCUACGGGUGAAAGCAGGGGAUCUUCGGAUCUUGCGCGAUUGAAUGAGCCGAUGUCGGAUUAGCUAGUUGGCGGGGUAAAGGCCCACCAAGGCGACGAUCCGUAGCUGGUCUGAGAGGAUGAUCAGCCACACUGGAACUGAGACACGGUCCAGACUCCUACGGGAGGCAGCAGUGGGGAAUAUUGGACAAUGGGCGCAAGCCUGAUCCAGCCAUACCGCGUGGGUGAAGAAGGCCUUCGGGUUGUAAAGCCCUUUUGUUGGGAAAGAAAGGCAGCAGGUUAAUACCCCGCUGUUCUGACGGUACCCAAAGAAUAAGCACCGGCUAACUUCGUG
rnacentral:rRNA from 1 species